rnacentral:rRNA from 1 species
AAAGGCGUAAUGAAAGUGAAGGUCCGCCCUGCGCGGACCGAGGGAGGAUGGACGGUCUUUAGGGAUCGUCCCGCACUCCCUGGGCGUCUCGUUCUCAUCGCGAGAAGAGGCGCACCAAGAGCGUACACGCUGGGACCCGAAAGAUGGUGAACUAUGCCUGGUCAGGACGAAGUCAGGGGAAACCCUGAUGGAGGUCCGUAGCGAUUCUGACGUGCAAAUCGAUCGUCGGAACUGGGUAUAGGGGCGAAAGACUAAUCGAACCAUCUAGUAGCUGGUUCCCUCCGAAGUUUCCCUCAGGAUAGCUGGCGCUCGCUUCUCGCGAGUCUCAUUCGGUAAAGCGAAUGAUUAGAGGCAUUGGGGUCGAAACGGCCUCAACCUAUUCUCAAACUUUAAAUGGGUGAGAUCUCCGGCUUGCUUGAACUGUGAAGCCGCGAGAUAUCGGAUCAGAGUGCCAAGUGGGCCACUUUUGGUAAGCAGAACUGGCGCUGUGGGAUGAACCAAACGCUGAGUUAAAGCGCCUAAAUCGACGCUUAUGGGA